GCCAUAUUAGCAUGGAUAACCCCGACAAACUUGGCCUAUCAAUCUCAACAAGCGCUCUUUGGCCCUCGGUCAACUACGCCUUCUACUAAAGGUCCAAACCAAUAUUUGCCAUCCCCUUUAAGGACAAUCGUAAACUAACAUGACUUUAAUUGUUAAAAUACCAUGGUCUAAUCUUUGACCUACAACAUCCUUGGCUAUCUGAGUGAACACAUCCCUCACGCCAAGCCAAACUAUUUGAGAAACCAUAGCUCCAUCACUUAACGGCUAAACGACAAUCUACGAUUUGUCUAAAUACGUCGUUUGACUAUUAAGAGAAUAAUUAUCGUAUAGCCUACAGUCGGAAGUCAUAUGAUAAAUUCUUCGUAACGAAACUCAGUCCUAACAACCAAAUGGUUAAAGGAAGAUCUAAACUUUUCGAAAAUUGACCGAGUUCAAUACUCUCCA
rnacentral:lncRNA from 1 species